UCAAAAGUUAUCCUCUCAAAAUUUUCAGAUUCAACUUCCAUUUCUAGUGCCGAUCUUUUUGGUAACUCUUCCAAUGUUGAUGUUGAUGCUAAUGACCUCCUUAAUAGACUAUCUUUCCGUGCUUAUGAAGACAUUUCUUCUCUCAGAAAUAUGGCUGGUGAGACUGGGAAGAAACUCAGUUUCUUGGCCUCCAAUCUGAUAACAGAUAUUCA
rnacentral:sRNA from 1 species